AAAUCCGGGCUUCAUUAAGGUCGAGAUGUUAUAGAGGAACGACCCUUCGGGGGAGCCAAUUCUACCUAAUCAUACUGCCAAGAAAAACCUCUAAGGAGAAACAGGCCAGACCGUACCGCAAACCAACACAGGUAGGUGAGGAGAGUAUCCUAAGGUGCUCGAGAGAACUCUGGUGAAGGAACUCGGCAAAAUGGCUCCGUAACUUCGGGAGAAGGAGCGCCAUAAGUAGGUGAAGCGACUUGCUCGUGAAGCCAAACAUGGCCGCAGUGAAAAGGCGUUGGCGACUGUUUACUAAAAACACAGGGCUCUGCGAAAUCGUAAGAUGACGUAUAGGGUCUGACACCUGCCCGGUGCCGAUCUGUUAAGUGGAGGGGUUAGACUUCGGUCGAAGCUCUGAAAUGAAGCCUCGGUAAACGGCGGCCGUAACUAUAACGGUCCUAAGGUAGCGAAAUUCCUUGUCGGGUAAGUUCCGACCUGCACGAAUGGUGUAACGAUCGGCGUACUGUCUCCACCAGGGACUCGGCGAAAUUGAAUUGGCGGUGAAAAUGCCGCCUACCCGCGACUAGACGGAAAGACCCCGUGCACCUUUACUGCAGCUUCACAUUGGGUCUUGGUAUUGCUUGUGUAGGAUAGCUGGGAGGCUGUGAAACGGGCACGCCAGUGUUCGUGGAGCCAAGCUUGAAAUACCAGCCUGGUAAUAUUAGGAUUCUAACCCCGUGCCGUUAUCCGGGCGGGGGACAGUGUGUGGUGGGUAGUUUGACUGGGGCGGUCGCCUCCCAAAAAGUAACGGAGGCGCGCAAAGGUUACCUCAGCGUGUUUGGCAAUCACGCGUCGAGUGCAAUGGCAUAAGGUAGCUUAACUGCGAGACCUACAAGUCGAGCAGGAACGAAAGUUGGUCAUAGUGAUCCGGCGAUCCCGUAUGGAAGGGUCGUUGCUCAACGGAUAAAAGGUACGCCGGGGAUAACAGGCUUAUCUCCCCCAAGAGUCCACAUCGACGGGGAGGUUUGGCACCUCGAUGUCGGCUCAUCACAUCCUGGGGCUGAAGAAGGUCCCAAGGGUUUGGCUGUUCGCCAAUUAAAGUGGUACGCGAGCUGGGUUUAGAACGUCGUGAGACAGUUCGGUCCCUAUCUGU
rnacentral:rRNA from 1 species